GCAGGGACUGCUGCAGGUACUGCCUGCCAGGGGAUGCUGGGAUCUGUAGUUUGUCUGCCUCUCCUUCCACCGCAGCCGUGGUUCCCUAGGGGCCAGGAUCCUCCCUGGGACCACCAAAGAGGGUCCAGAAGGGAUGAAGGAUCCUCCGUGCAGGAGGAUUUGGCUGCAGCUAUUAGAGGUCCAGUCUCUUGGUUUUGAUGCCUUCUUCCCUCACCUCCUCCAUGCCAAUACUGCUUACAGUUCAGGGACAGCCUGCGUUCAGAGCACACCUUAUUUCAUCAACUUCAGCCUCCACCCGUGGCCAACUCUUCAAGUCUUGCUCACCCCAGGAAAAUGGGAUUAAAGGAAGGGAAGGACAAGGUAAUGCUCUGAUAUUUGCCACUAAGCCCACAGGGAACUGGGCAAAGAAAACUCCCUACAUGGGACACGGUGUUGGCAGUAGGACGGCUCCUGUGUAGCCAACCACCACCACAGCCCUGCAGGUGAGGGAUGCUCACACUCUUAAAGCUGAGCUGUGCUCUGGAAGAGGCACAGAGUUACCCGUUGACCAGGCUGCUUUCAUAAAGCCCCAAACUGCUUUUACUAUCUCUAAAAUGUAAGUACCAAUAAAG
rnacentral:lncRNA from 1 species